CUUGGUGGGGGAGGUGCCUCAGCCUGGAUUGCAAGAGGACGCAGGCCAGGCCGAGGGACCCCACUGGUGCAUG
rfam:Myotis lucifugus cont2.1147, whole genome shotgun sequence.